rnacentral:rRNA from 1 species
GCGAAGGUAGCAUAAUGAUUUGUUUCUUAAUUGGGGACUAGAAUGAAAGGUUGCACGAGAAGCUAGCUGUCUCUGGUGUAAAUAAUGAAAUUAACUUUUAAGUGAAAAGGCUUAAAUAAAUCAAGGGGACGAUAAGACCCUAUAAAUCUUUACAUUAUUAUUUUUUCAUUGGACAUUUGUGGGAAGAUCUAAUGAUAGAAUUAAUUGAUGUUUUGUUGGGGCGACAGGAGUAUAAAUGUAACUGCUUCGAAAAUUAGAUUAGAUAUAGUUAGGUUGUGUGAAGUAGAUCCUUCUAUGAGGAUGACAGAACAAGUUACUUUAGGGAUAACAGCGUGAUUUCUCUUGAGAGUUCUUAUCGAAAGAGAAGGUUGCGACCUCGAUGUUGAAUUAAGGUUCCUUCACGGGGGAGGAGUUGUGAAAGGAGGUCUGUUCGA